CUGUGUAGUGAGUUGGAUUCGUCCCGUUCUUUUCUCACGUCACGGUACUCAUUUAACUCCACCUGAUCAACAAUUACUUAAUUAGUGGGCACUGCUUGGAUGUGGCUAUAAAGGCCUGCGAGUUUGCUGUGGUGUCUGAGCUUGUGAACCGCUACCUCUCCUGUGUGGUUUCCUCGUUCUCCUGCGGUGUCCGUUAACUGAAGGAAAUUGCACCACUUCAUCAGAGAACAAGAGUACUUUCUCUCAUCAAGGCUGAGAAUAGGUUGUGGGCAUUGCAGAGGCCUAGUUGAGGAUGCACUUCUUGGAUUGUGGUCUGGGAGUUGGUCAAUCUCCUGGAUGUGUGGUGGUUGAAGGGUCAACAUGAGAACCUCAUCUGAACUAAGCAUGUCUUCGGUCAUCAAGUGAAGUGGGAACCACAUCAUGAGGCUGCAGGCAGACACUGCCUAGGUGGAAGCUCUGUGAAGGACGUACGAAAUCAAUGCCCAAGACGGGUAAUAUGCCUGUAAAGAUCCAAGCAGCCAAAUCACGACCUUGGACCUACUCCUAUGAGUCAUGGCAAUCCCUGACUGGAUUUUAGGUGCCAGUAAAUUGUCCUCACCAUCUGUCAUAAAAUGGUGUCCGUUAACUGAAGGAAAUUGCACCACUUUAUCGGAGAACUAGAGUACUUCCCCUCAGCAAGGCUGAGAAUAGACUUGAGGUAACUGCCAGCAGUUAAUCUUGUUUAUAGGCCUGUGUUGUGUACUGGCUGUGGGCAUUGCAGAGGCCUAAUUGAGGAUGCGCUUCUUGGAUUGUGGUCUGGGAGUUGGUCAAUCUCCUGGAUGUGUGGUGGUUGAAGGGCCAACAUGAGAACCUCAUCUGAACUAAGCAUGUCUUCUGUCAUCAAGUGAAGUGGGAACCACAUGAGGCCAUGCAGAGGCAGACACUGCCUAGGUGGAAGCUCUGCUCUGUGAAAGAGGAUUAGCUGCUUGGAUCUUCACAGGCAUCAUCAUGUGUCUACUCCAGAACCUGAAAAGGUGAACCCACUGGAGUUGCCUGGGUUUGGCUGUUAUGGUGAAAUGAUUAGUGUCUGGUCCUGACCAUCUGUCUUAAAAUGGUUUGAAAUCCUUGGCAGAAGUCCUGGCCAGACACGGCUGAAAAAGGGACCAUACAUUCAGAUUGAUUGUUUUUUUUCUGUAUGCCGGAGAGUGAGCGGUCCAUGCCAGGUUUCAGAACAUGAUCAGGUUGCCUGCAUCCUCAGUGAUUUGGGUCCCCGCUAUCCCCAGGCUUUGGUACUCAAAAACCUGUCUGCUCCAAGACUCUUUGGCGUCAUCAUGUUCCAGCAUGGCUUUCUUGUACUACAGUUUUUAUUUGUGAAUAAAUGUGUGGCCCUAA